rnacentral:rRNA from 1 species
GCUAGAGGUGAAAUUCUUGGAUUGACCGAAGACAAACUACUGCGAAAGCAUUUGAUCCAGGACGUUUUCAUUGAUCAAGGUCUAAAGUUAAGGGAUCGAAGACGAUUAGAUACCGUCGUAGUCCUAACCACAUACUAUGCCGACUAGAGAUUGGGCUUGUUUAUUAUGACUAGCUCAGCAUCUUAGCGAAAGUAAAGUUUUUGGGUUCUGGGGGGAGUAUGGACACAAGGCUGAAACAUAAAGGAAUUGACGGAAGGGCACCACCAGGAGUGGAGCCUGCGGCUUAAUUUGACUCAACACGGGGAAACUCACCAGGUCCAGACAUAGUAAGGAUUGACAGAUUGAAAGCUCUUUCUAGAUUCUAUGGGUGGUGGUGCAUGGCCGUUCUUAGUUCGUGGAGUGAUUUGUCUGGUUAAUUCCGAUAACGAACGAGACCUUAUUCUGCUAAAUAGGCAGGUCAACUUUUUAGUUGAUUAAUAGAUUUAUCUAUCUGGCUUCUUAGAGAGACUAUCGGCUUCAAGCCGAAGGAAGUUUUAGGCAAUAACAGGUCUGUGAUGCCCUUAG